rnacentral:SRP_RNA from 16 species
GCAAACCCAGGGGGCACCGGGCCAGGCGGGAGAUGGAGCUUCUCGCGCAGCUCGCGGUCGAUGGCGGCGAGCUGCCGCGCG